rnacentral:sRNA from 1 species
AUGCUCCCGAAGAAGGAUACCAUGCUGUCAACACAAAAGACAAAGGUCGUGGUCAAAGUUUCUCAGCAGCAGACCGAAGAAAAUCUUAUGGAAGAGUAAUGAAAUGGAAUCAUGUUGCAUGCGCUCUCAUUUUGUCAUCUUUAUGCAACACUUGUGUUUCUAAUUGUUACUUUGCAAGUUGUAUUUGACUGAUUACCAGCAAGUUUUGCACGUACUGUGUGCCUGUGUGCUUUGUGACUUCCAUCUAUAUUUGAGCCUUGGGCCUAGUAAUGGUGUCUGUGCGGACUUGCGCUAAGCCCAAGGUGGUGUGCACCCUAGGGCUAACCCUAGGAUAUCUCUAAUCAUAUUUAUUUUAUUUAGUAGCCAUUAUUGUUUAGAGUUGGAUUUUGCUUAGAUUAUUAUGCCAAAUAUAAUUUCGCAGCUAAUUCGAUUUGUAGAACUCCAACUUCAAGUGCCUAAUCAUUUAUUUGC